AGCUGCCUAGGACACAGUGACCACAAAAUGGUAGAGUUCUGGAUUCUUGGUGAUGUCAGGAGGGGCACCAUCAAAACUGCUACCUUGGACUUCUGGAGGGCAGACUUUGAACUGUUCAGGACACUGGUAGGGAGGGUUUCUUGGGAUGAACAGGGAGCUUUGCCUGAGGUUCUAAGGAGAAAAAGAGAAUCUACCUCCUGUGGAAGAAGGGGCAGUCAACUUAGGGAGAAUAAAGAAAUUGUUACUAUGUACAGGGAGAAAAUUAGAAAGGUAAAAGCCCACCUUGAACUCAACUUGACCACUGGGAUAAAAGAGGACAAAAACUUUUGACAGAUACAUUAACAGUACGAAGAGGACUAAGGAGAAUCACCAUACUUCACCAAAUGCAGCAGGGAAUGUGACCACUGAGGAUAAGGAAGAGGUUGAAGUUCUCAAUGCCUCCUUUACUUUUGUCUUUAAAAGUGAAACCAGCUAUCCUUGGGGUACUCUACCUUCUCAUCUGGAAGUCUCAGGGAGCAGAAUAAACUUCAGGUUGGGCUUCAGGACUGCCUACCCAUGUCAGACAGCAAGCCAGGCGCUGCCAUCAGACAUUGCUCCAACACAGAGCAAAUAGACUGUUCUAAUCCUUAGUAUUACUAUUCAGCAGGCAGAUGUUCAGCCUCUCCCAGGAAAGGAAGGCUCAUCAUGCAUAAUGGUUUCUGGAGAAGUCAAACUCCAUCACCUCAGCAUCCUGCAUUCCUCCUUCUUACCCCCAGCUGCUAUUGCUGAGCACAACACCAUGUGGUAUGGGACACCCUCUCGGUUAGUCUGAGUCAGCUGUCCUGUUUGUCCCCUCCCAGCCCCUUGUACCAUCAGCCCCUUGCUGGCAGGGCAGCAGGAGGAGCAGGAAAUUUCUUGGCUCUGUGCAAGCACUGCUCUGAAGCAGUGUCUCAUCAGUUCUGUUUGGGUCACAAAUCCAAAAUAACACUGUACCAACUGCUAUGAAUAAAAUUAACUCUAUUGCAGACAA